rnacentral:rRNA from 1 species
CCUACGGGAGGCAGCAGUGAGGAAUAUUGGUCAAUGGACGAGCGUCUGAACCAGCCAAGUAGCGUGAAGGAUGACUGCCCUAUGGGUUGUAAACUUCUUUUAUAUGGGAAUAAAAUGUUCCACGUGUGGGAUUUUGUAUGUACCAUAUGAAUAAGGAUCGGCUAACUCCGUGCCAGCAGCCGCGGUAAUACGGAGGAUCCGAGCGUUAUCCGGUUUUAUUGGGUUUAAAGGGAGCGUAGGUGGAUUGUUAAGUCAGUUGUGAAAGUUUGCGGCUCAACCGUAAAAUUGCAGUUGAAACUGGCAGUCUUGAGUACAGUAGAGGUGGGCGGAAUUCGUGGUGUAGCGGUGAAAUGCUUAGAUAUCACGAAGAACUCCGAUUGCGAAGGCAGUUCACUGGACUGCAACUGACACUGAGGCUCGAAAGUGUGGGUAUCAAACAGGAUUAGAUACCCGUGUAGUC